rnacentral:rRNA from 1 species
GGAGAGGGCUAGCGUUAUUCGGAAUUAUUGGGCGUAAAGGGCGCGUAGGCGGAUUAGUAAGUUAAAAGUGAAAUCCCAAGGCUCAACCUUGGAAUUGCUUUUAAAACUGCUAAUCUAGAGAUUGAAAGAGGAUAGAGGAAUUCCUAGUGUAGAGGUGAAAUUCGUAAAUAUUAGGAGGAACACCAGUGGCGAAGGCGUCUAUCUGGUUCAAAUCUGACGCCGAGGCGCGAAGGCGUGGGGAGCAAACAGGAUUAGAUACCCUGGUAGUCCACGCUGUAAACGAUGAAUGUUAAAUAUGGGGAGUUUACUUUCUGUAUUACAGCUAACGCGUUAAACAUUCCGCCUGGGGACUACGGUCGCAAGAUUAAAACUCAAAGGAAUUGACGGGGACCCGCACAAGCGGUGGAGCAUGUGGUUUAAUUCGAUGCAACGCGAAAAACCUUACCACUCCUUGACAUGGAAAUUAUACCUAUUCGAAGGGAUAGGGUCGGUUCGGCCGGGUUUCACACAGGUGU